rnacentral:lncRNA from 1 species
UUUGAAUCCGAUGAUCUACCGUUUCCAAAUACCUAAUUUUUGUUCUACUAUUCUUAAUUUUAGGGAUUUUCUUAAUCUGCAAAAAUUUAAGGAUCUUCGAAUCAUCCUGCGGUAGCCUUCAAUUCAACCAGGUAAAGUUUGAUUCAACGUCGUUUAGCAUUUUUUUCUUUAAUAGAUGUAUAUUCUUUUUUUGGUUACUAAUCUAUAUGCUUGUUUCCAAUAAAUUAAGUUUUUUAAGGUUUGAGAGGCUCGAGAUUGGGUAGGCAUUGGAGUAAUUGUAUAAAGGAGAGAUGAAUAAAGAGAAGAUAGAAGAAUUGAAGAUUCAAGUGCAACAGGUGUUAAAUGAUGCCCAAGAAUUUGUGCAGGAAGUCCCUCCAACUCAACUUUUCGCUGCAGUGGGAGUGAUCUUGUUCACCAUAUUUUUUUUUCUUGAUCCGUAAUUGUAGCUGACCCUAUUAAAUUAAAGUUGCUUUCUUUUUUUAAUGCAAAUUUGAAGGUCUCUGGAAUUAACAUGUCAUGCAUUGUUAAUUAUUUUUUGUUGGGAUAUUGAAUUUUGUUGCAGUGAGAUUUUCUGAGUUUCUUACUUACAGUGAUAAAGUUGGUGACUUUGUGUUGCAAUUUCUCGAGGUUAUGUAAUUCUUAGUAUGCAUUGUUGGAUACGUGGACCUUGGUUAAAGGGAUUUUUGCCUCCACCGAUAAUAUCCUGGGCUUGCUGUUGCUUACUUCUCCUUAACUUUUGAGUAUAUCUUGACAUGAUGAGCCACAUG